CCUCUUGAGGACUCUGAUAUUGUCUCCUACAUCCUUAAUGGACUUGGUGUUGAUUAUGAUUCUCUUGUCAUCUCAAUCACCACGCGAUCUGAUUUCAUUUCCUUGAAUGAUCUCUAUGGAUUUCUGAUGAGCGCCGAAU